UGGGGAAUUUUGGACAAUGGGCGAAAGCCUGAUCUAGCAAUGCCGCGUGUGUGAAGAAGGCCUUCGGGUUGUAAAGCACUUUUGUCCGGAAAGAAAUCCUUGGCUCUAAUACAGUCGGGGGAUGACGGUACCGGAAGAAUAAGCACCGGCUAACUACGUGCCAGCAGCCGCGGUAAUACGUAGGGUGCAAGCGUUAAUCGGAAUUACUGGGCGUAAAGCGUGCGCAGGCGGUUUGCUAAGACCGAUGUGAAAUCCCCGGGCUCAACCUGGGAACUGCAUUGGUGACUGGCAGGCUAGAGUAUGGCAGAGGGGGGUAGAAUUCCACGUGUAGCAGUGAAAUGCGUAGAGAUGUGGAGGAAUACCGAUGGCGAAGGCAGCCCCCUGGGCCAAUACUGACGCUCAUGCACGAAAGCGUGGGGAGCAAACAGGAUUAGAUACCCUGGUAGUCCACGCCCUAAAACGAUGUCAACUAGUUGUUGGGGAUUCAUUUCCUUAGUAACGUAGCUAACGCGUGAAGUUGACCGCCUGGGGAGUACGGUCGCAAGAUUAAAACUCAAAUGAAUUGACGGGGUCAUAGCUGUUUCCU
rnacentral:rRNA from 1 species